rnacentral:rRNA from 1 species
UACGAAGGGGGCUAGCGUUGCUCGGAAUCACUGGGCGUAAAGCGCACGUAGGCGGCUUGUUAAGUCAGGGGUGAAAUCCUGGAGCUCAACUCCAGAACUGCCUUUGAUACUGGCGAGCUUGAGUUCGGGGAGAGGUGAGUGGAACUGCGAGUGUAGAGGUGAAAUUCGUAGAGUAUUCGCAAGAACACCAGUGGGCGAAGGCGGCUCACUGGCCCGGUACUGACGCUGAGGUGCGAAAGCGUGGGGAGCAAAC